rnacentral:rRNA from 1 species
CAGGAUGAACGCUAGCGGCAGGCUUAACACAUGCCAGUCGAGGGGCAGCGAGAUCAGUGCCUGCACUGAUUGUCGGCGACCGGCGCACGGGUGCGUAACGCGUAUGCAACCUACCCAUUACAGGGGGAUAACACUGAGAAAUCGGUACUAAUACCCCAUAACAUCCAGGGAGGCAUCUUCUUGGGUUGAAAACUCCGGUGGUAAUGGAUGGGCAUGCGUUGUAUUAGUUAGUUGGUGGGGUAACGGCUCACCAAGACAACGAUACAUAGGGGGACUGAGAGGUUAACCCCCCACAUUGGUACUGAGACACGGACCAAACUCCUACGGGAGGCAGCAGUGAGGAAUAUUGGUCAAUGGACGCAAGUCUGAACCAGCCAUGCCGCGUGCAGGAAGACGGCUCUAUGAGUUGUAAACUGCUUUUGUACGAGGGUAAACGCAGAUACGCGUAUCUGUCUGAAAGUAUCGUACGAAUAAGGAUCGGCUAACUCCGUGCCAGCAGCCGCGGUAAUACGGAGGAUUCAAGCGUUAUCCGGAUUUAUUGGGUUUAAAGGGUGCGUAGGCGGUCGGAUAAGUUAGAGGUGAAAUCCCGGGGCUCAACUUCGGAAUUGCCUCUGAUACUGUUCGGCUAGAGAGUAGUUGCGGUAGGCGGAAUGUAUGGUGUAGCGGUGAAAUGCUUAGAGAUCAUACAGAACACCGAUUGCGAAGGCAGCUUACCAAGCUACUUCUGACGUUGAGGCACGAAUGCGUGGGGAGCAAACAGGAUUAGAUACCCUGGUAGUCCACGCAGUAAACGAUGAUAACUCGUUGUCGGCGAUACAGUGUCGGUGACUAAGCGAAAGCGAUAAGUUAUCCACCUGGGGAGUACGUUCGCAAGAAUGAAACUCAAAGGAAUUGACGGGGGCCCGCACAAGCGGAGGAACAUGUGGUUUAAUUUGAUGAUACGCGAGGAACCUUACCCGGGCUUGAAAGUUAGUGACGGAUCUUGAAAGAGGUAUUCCCUUCGGGGCACGAAACUAGGUGCUGCAUGGUUGUCGUCAGCUCGUGCCGUGAGGUGUCGGGUUAAGUCCCAUAACGAGCGCAACCCCUACCGUUAGUUGCCAGCAGGUCAAGCUGGGCACUCUGACGGGACUGCCGGUGUAAGCCGAGAGGAAGGUGGGGAUGACGUCAAAUCAGCACGGCCCUUACGUCCGGGGCUACACACGUGUUACAAUGGCAGGUACAGAGGGCAGCUACCCAGC